rnacentral:rRNA from 1 species
UACAGAGGUCUCAAGCGUUGUUCGGAUUCAUUGGGCGUAAAGGGUGUGUAGGUGGCGCGCUAAGUCGGGUGUGAAAUUUCGGAGCUUAACUCCGAGACUGCAUUCGAUACUGGCGUGCUUGAGGACUGGAGAGGAGACUGGAAUUCAUGGUGUAGCAGUGAAAUGCGUAGAGAUCAUGAGGAAGACCAGUGGCGAAGGCGGGUCUCUGGACAGUUCCUGACACUGAGGCACGAAGGCCAGGGGAGCAAACGGG